GAUGAACGCUGGCGGCGUGCCUAAUACAUGCAAGUCGAGCGAACAGACGAGGAGCUUGCUCCUCUGACGUUAGCGGCGGACGGGUGAGUAACACGUGGAUAACCUACCUAUAAGACUGGGAUAACUUCGGGAAACCGGAGCUAAUACCGGAUAAUAUAUUGAACCGCAUGGUUCAAUAGUGAAAGACGGUUUUGCUGUCACUUAUAGAUGGAUCCGCGCCGCAUUAGCUAGUUGGUAAGGUAACGGCUUACCAAGGCAACGAUGCGUAGCCGACCUGAGAGGGUGAUCGGCCACACUGGAACGGAGACACGGUCAAGACUCCUACGGGAGGCAGCAGUAGGGAAUCUUCCGCAAGGGGCGAAAGCUUGACGGAGCAACGCCGCGUGAGUGAUGAAGGUCUUCGGAUCGUAAAACUCUGUUAUUAGGGAAGAACAAAUGUGUAAGUAACUAUGCACGUCUUGACGGUACCUAAUCAGAGAGCACGGCUAACUACG
rnacentral:rRNA from 1 species